rnacentral:lncRNA from 1 species
GCUCCUCUCAACCACAUCACCUCCCGGUGCUGCAGCGGCUCUCACUCUUUCUCUGCCUCUCGGCUCCUCCGUGCUGCCAAGUUUCUCCCCUCACUCUUGUCUGAUUCCAUCCGUCCUUGCGUCACAGGGCGCCGUUCUGGGCAGCCUGCUCCCGGUCCUCGCUUGGUCUCGGGCGAAGCGUAGGGAGUCUCGGCAUGGCCCUUGGCACCCCCUUCUGCGAGAGUUUAGUGUGACCUUGGUGAGCAAAAAUUGACUUCUCGUGCUGGGGACGCUGCAAAAAAUGGCCACAAAUUCUUCCCCGUCCCCGCGUACCCACUCUUGCUACCUUUGCGGGUCAUGGGACUUGAUUGAGCGUCGUGGGACUUGAUUGAGCGCCAUGGGACGGUAGCCAUUGUGAGAUAAAACUGCAUCUUGGAGGAGCAUGAGAAUAAUGGCAGCCAGGCCAGCCUUGGGGCCUGGGUGCUGGAGCUGGAGCUGGAGCUUGGGUCCUGGGGUAUCAUCUACCACCUUCUUUGCCACACGGCUCUCACUGCUGGCGUCUGGACCCCACGUGUUGCUGCUGCAGCCGCCCUUGGCGCUGUCGGGAUUCUCAUCACAAGCCAAGGCCCCAUGCACCUGGAAGACAUUUGAACUCCUGCGCUGUUGAUGCUCCUGUCGCUGUUACUAUAGGAGACUCCUAGGCGCUGUCGUUCCUUAUGGUGAGUCUUGUGUUUCUCCAUGGAGAAGCUUUCAUUAUUUCCAGACUUGCUGAACCCAUUAUGAGACCAUUGAGACAGGAUAAGAAAUAAAAAUGUCUACUUUGUUCACUGGGCUGUUAUUCCUGGAUCUUUACAAUUGAGGUGGAGAAAGAAAACACCUCCAGAAAAAUAAUUUAAGAGGCAUGGCUGGUCGGUUGUGUCACGUUUGAUCCCAGGAGCCCUGUAGUUCAGGCGCAAAUAUGAAAAGGGCUAUGGAAGUAAAUUUCAGUGACGUUUUUUAUUUAAAAAUCUCCUGCUGACAAAAGCACCUUUCCCAUCAAGGGGUCAUCUCGGUGCCCAAUUUAAAGGCUGGCCUGUCCAGUAAAGUGCCUUCGUGCCAAGAAUUCUGGAUUUUCCCUUACGGGUUCUUUCUCCGAGUGGGCGUGCUGGGUUUGAAUUAGUGUGUUGACCUUUUUGAGCCUUUGUGUUCGUCAUUCAUAAAAAAAAAAUUGGCUGUACUUUUUGGCUAUAUUGACAUGGAGGCACUGAGUCAAAUAUCCUAACCCCCCAAUACUUACCUCCUACCAGCAGCAGCAUUUUCCCGGGCAAGACACCGUUUCUGCAAGUAGAUUUGUAAGUCAGGUUGAUCCAAAGGGUUUAACAGUUCCUUCUGAAGAGCCAGGCUCUUGCCCAUUGUUGCUAAUUGGCUAGAUGUUGGGUUUUUUUGUUUGUUUAUUUGUUAUAGCCCGUUGAAUGCAAUAUCAUAUAUUAUUAUCUCGGUGAGCUCCCUAUGGGGAUGUGAACUUGUUCUACACCCACAUAAAAUACUUUAUUCCCCGGUUUUCUUAUUAGAUUUACUAACAUGUCACUGCUGUACCAUUACCAUUUAACAGCCUGGGAGGCAGAAAGAACACACUAUUAUACAAGUCUUGGCAAAGCCAACACCGAUGUAGGGAAAUCAUUAAGCUUCAGGAAGUUUUAACUUUCUUGCACCCAAUUUCUUAUCAUUAAUGCAAGAUUUGUAUUCUUCCUUGACCCCCUAAUCUUGUAAAGGAAAUAGGGGGAGAAAAGGGGAAGGGGAAGGGGAGGGGAGGAGGAGACGCAGAUCGGGCUGAGCCAUAGCCAUUUCCAGCGCAUGCACUUACAUCAGUGAUUAAUCAAACUAAUGGGGAGUUCUAAUUCGGUGCUCUGCUACCCUUAAGCCCCGUAAUUGCGGUGUCUCUGAACCCAAAGGAAACACGUUGUGCUCUGCGUGCCCAGGCGCAUAGCUUUUAAAUCUUCAUAACUCUGUAAUUACUCCAGCGCUUUCCUUCAAAUCUGGCUUAAUUUCACUUCCUUAAUGAGCACUCCCAUCUUGAUAAAGUUGGAAGCCUGCUGCCUCUGCUGUUCACAAGGACUCAAUCCCAGGCUGAUAAUGUGAGUUGUGGAUUUCACUCCCUCAAGUUCCUCUCAAAAAGGAGCUGAUUUAUUUCAGGACCACCGCAGUCACAAGCACUUCCUCUGGGUCAAGGCCAGCGCGGGGUGUUUCCAUCACAGAAGGGUGCUUGGAGAGCAAGUUCUAAACAGUUUAAAAAAAAAAAAAAAAAAAAAAAACAACAGAGCAGGGGGUGCAGGGAGGCGGGAAGCUUAUGAACCCUUGGGGAAUGGCUGUUUUGCUUUAUUAGCGCCAUGUGCUCCAGAGACUGUGGUUCAUUUUACCCAAUCGAAGACUUUGCUGUAUAGCAAAUAUAUUAAAAAUCCACUUCCUCUUCAUAAACGGAGCCCUGCCAAAGAGUGAACAUUUCAAGUCAG